GCGGGGGACCACAUUUGGAAACAGAUGCUAAUACCGCAUAACAGCGUUGUUCGCAUGAACAACGCUUAAAAGAUGGCUUCUCGCUAUCACUUCUGGAUGGACCUGCGGUGCAUUAGCUUGUUGGUGGGGUAACGGCCUACCAAGGCGAUGAUGCAUAGCCGAGUUGAGAGACUGAUCGGCCACAAUGGGACUGAGACACGGCCCAUACUCCUACGGGAGGCAGCAGUAGGGAAUCUUCCACAAUGGGCGCAAGCCUGAUGGAGCAACACCGCGUGAGUGAAGAAGGGUUUCGGCUCGUAAAGCUCUGUUGUUAAAGAAGAACACGUAUGAGAGUAACUGUCCAUACGUUGACGUAUUAACCAGAAAUCACG
rnacentral:rRNA from 1 species